UUUUGGUGAGGUGCCUUCCGAGUUCCCUGGAACGGGACGCCACAGAGGGUGAGAGCCCCGUCUGGUUGGACACCGAGCCUCUGUAAAGCUCCUUCGACGAGUCGAGUAGUUUGGGAAUGCUGCUCUAAAUGGGAGGUAUAUGUCUUCUAAAGCUAAAUACCGGCCAGAGACCGAUAGCGCACAAGUAGAGUGAUCGAAAGAUGAAAAGAACUUUGAAAAGAGAGUUAAACAGUACGUGAAAUUGUUGAAAGGGAAGCGCUUGUGACCAGACUUGGGCUUGGUUGAUCAUCCGGGGUUCUCCCCGGUGCACUCUUCCGGCUCAGGCCAGCAUCAGUUCGCCCUGGGGGAUAAAGGCAGCGGGAAUGUGGCUCUCUCCGGGGAGUGUUAUAGCCCGCUGCGUAAUACCCUGUGGCGGACUGAGG
rnacentral:rRNA from 1 species